rnacentral:misc_RNA from 1 species
UCCGAUUUGUCACCGGCAGUCUCCUAUGAGUCCCCGUCUUUCACGCUGGCAACUAAGGACAGGGGUUGCGCUCGUUGCGGCACUUAAGCCAACACCUCACGGCACGAGCUGACGACAGCCUUGCAGCACCUGUGCUAGCCCCUUGCGGACACGCGCUUUCACGCGUUUUAACUAGCAUGUCAAGCCUAGGUAAGGUUCUUCGCGUUGCAUCGAAUUAAGCCACAUGCUCCGCCGCUUGUGCGGGUCCCCGUCAAUUCCUUUGAGUUUUAGCCUUGCGGCCGUACUCCCCAGGCGGGGUGCUUAAUGCGUUAGCUGCGGCACGGACGGAGUCGACACCGCCCACACCUAGUUCCCAUCGUUUACGGCGUGGACUAC